rnacentral:rRNA from 1 species
AUGGAAUUUGGCAAAGUUCGGCAAAUUGGACAAAACGUUCGGCUAAAGUUUGGCAAACUUGACAUAUAUUCGACAUGUUCGACGUUACAUAAGUUAUUACAAAAACAACUAAGGGGCGAAGAAGCCGCUGAGCGCGGCGAAGUCGCCGACGUCGCCGCCAUCCUCGUCGUCGUCAUCGGCCUUCUCCUUCUUGACGCGGCCGCCCCUGCUGGACCCCUGCCCCGCGUCGCCCUGGCGGACCGGUGGCGGCGACGCGUCUUCGUCACUGUCGUCGAGGACGGUGACCCCUCCCUCGUCGCGGCCACCGCUUUGGGCUUGGGGAGAGAGGGAAGGGGAUGA